rnacentral:lncRNA from 1 species
GAAUGGCUUUGGGCACCUGCAAGCUCUUCUUCCCAGUCCCACUGCAUGUUAGCUUCUACGUAAAGGAUGGAAAACUAAAUCAUUCAAGUAAUUCAAUCCAACGACUUCCAAUCCAAAUUUGAUUAAAAAAAUCGAUUGUCAACCUUAAUGUCAAAUUACUGAGAGAGUGUGGGCUUUGGGACAGGAAGCACGAGAAAACAGUGCGCUCUUGAAGUAUGAAAAAUACUGCUUUAAAUAUCUUUGCGCUUUGGUAGACGCUAAACGGGGUUCGUCUGACAGUGCCAGAGAGGAUUCAGCUGCCUUUCUUCCCCUUAAUCCCUACUCCUCUUGUAGCCACCGACCUCAGAGAUGCGUGCAGAGUUGCCACACCAGAUGCUUUUUCCUCGAUUUAUGUCGUCUGGAGUUCUGGAGUGGAGCUGUUGCCCUGGGUUGGUGCGCUGAAGACCACCACUGCAGUCACAGCUGGUAA